rnacentral:rRNA from 1 species
AAUAUUGGACAAUGGGGGCAACCUUGAUCCAGCCAUCCCGCGUGUAUGAUGAAGGCUUUCGGGUGUUAAAGUACUUUUGGCAGAGAAGAAAAGGUAUCUCCUAAUACGAGAUACUGCUGACGGAAUCUGCAGAAUAAGCACCGUCUAACUACGUGCCAGCAGCCGCGGUAAUACGAAGGGUGCAAGCGUUAAUCGGGAUUACUGGGCGUAAAGCGUGUGUUGGCGGUUCGGGAAGAAAGAUGGUAAAACCCCGGGCCCAACCUUGGAACUGCAUUUUUAAAUGGCGAGCUAGAGUAUGGUAGAGGGGGGUAGAAUUCCACGUGUAGCAGUGAAAUGCGUAGAUAUGUGGAGGAAUACCGAUGGCGAAGGCAGCCCCCUGGGAUAAUACUGACGCUCAGACACGAAAGCGUGGGGAGCAAAC